ACCUCUAACACACAGGCCAGCAACGCAGGAUGGAAGCCCUCGCAACGCAACCUCUUUUCAUCUGUGAGACUUGCAGGACACCCCUAGGACAUUAGAAAGAGCUCUGUUCUCGUUGACAUCAUUUUGAAUCAUUCAUUCAUACUCUCCUGUAACCAAGAGAGGUUUGGAAAGAUAGAAGGGCUGCUGUUUGAAAAGAUUAUUAAUCACAUACCAGGACAGCCUGUGUACACUGAACCCUGCCACAAAGCAAGAAACGCCUCAUUAACUGAACAGCAAUUCCAGACCUAUCAAAUGAAUGGAACAGGCUGGCUGACACAGAUUCAAAUCCUUGGCAUUCAGGAAGUCAUGGUGGAAACGAUCUUGGCACCAUGGGAAAUAGYGCU